UUUUAUGGAGAGUUUGAUCCUGGCUCAGGAUGAACGCUGGCGGCGUGCCUAAUACAUGCAAGUCGAGCGAACGGACGAGAAGCUUGCUUCUCUGAUGUUAGCGGCGGACGGGUGAGUAACACGUGGAUAACCUACCUAUAAGACUGGGAUAACUUCGGGAAACCGGAGCUAAUACCGGAUAAUAUUUUGAACCGCAUGGUUCAAAAGUGAAAGACGGUCUUGCUGUCACUUAUAGAUGGAUCCGCGCUGCAUUAGCUAGUUGGUAAGGUAACGGCUUACCAAGGCAACGAUGCAUAGCCGACCUGAGAGGGUGAUCGGCCACACUGGAACUGAGACACGGUCCAGACUCCUACGGGAGGCAGCAGUAGGGAAUCUUCCGCAAUGGGCGAAAGCCUGACGGAGCAACGCCGCGUGAGUGAUGAAGGUCUUCGGAUCGUAAAACUCUGUUAUUAGGGAAGAACAUAUGUGUAAGUAACUGUGCACAUCUUGACGGUACCUAAUCAGAAAGCCACGGCUAACUACGUGCCAGCAGCCGCGGUAAUACGUAGGUGGCAAGCGUUAUCCGGAAUUAUUGGGCGUAAAGCGCGCGUAGGCGGUUUUUUAAGUCUGAUGUGAAAGCCCACGGCUCAACCGUGGAGGGUCAUUGGAAACUGGAAAACUUGAGUGCAGAAGAGGAAAGUGGAAUUCCAUGUGUAGCGGUGAAAUGCGCAGAGAUAUGGAGGAACACCAGUGGCGAAGGCGACUUUCUGGUCUGUAACUGACGCUGAUGUGCGAAAGCGUGGGGAUCAAACAGGAUUAGAUACCCUGGUAGUCCACGCCGUAAACGAUGAGUGCUAAGUGUUAGGGGGUUUCCGCCCCUUAGUGCUGCAGCUAACGCAUUAAGCACUCCGCCUGGGGAGUACGACCGCAAGGUUGAAACUCAAAGGAAUUGACGGGGACCCGCACAAGCGGUGGAGCAUGUGGUUUAAUUCGAAGCAACGCGAAGAACCUUACCAAAUCUUGACAUCCUUUGACAACUCUAGAGAUAGAGCUUUCCCCUUCGGGGGACAAAGUGACAGGUGGUGCAUGGUUGUCGUCAGCUCGUGUCGUGAGAUGUUGGGUUAAGUCCCGCAACGAGCGCAACCCUUAAGCUUAGUUGCCAUCAUUAAGUUGGGCACUCUAAGUUGACUGCCGGUGACAAACCGGAGGAAGGUGGGGAUGACGUCAAAUCAUCAUGCCCCUUAUGAUUUGGGCUACACACGUGCUACAAUGGACAAUACAAAGGGCAGCGAAACCGCGAGGUCAAGCAAAUCCCAUAAAGUUGUUCUCAGUUCGGAUUGUAGUCUGCAACUCGACUACAUGAAGCUGGAAUCGCUAGUAAUCGUAGAUCAGCAUGCUACGGUGAAUACGUUCCCGGGUCUUGUACACACCGCCCGUCACACCACGAGAGUUUGUAACACCCGAAGCCGGUGGAGUAACCUUUUAGGAGCUAGCCGUCGAA
rnacentral:rRNA from 1 species